rnacentral:lncRNA from 1 species
AGUGCCUCCUAGAGACCUAUGACCUCGGUGAUCUUCUCCUCGAGGCGGGCAGCCUCAGCUAGGAGACCUUCCUUUGCCCAAGUUGCCUCCCUCUUAGCAAUCUUCACCGCCUCAACGUUGGCGACAAGCUGGUGCCCAAUCUGCAAGAGAGGCUGGGGAGUCAAUAUAAAGGCUAAGGAGUAAAUUGAGUAAAGAAACGAGAAGGAGAAAAAAGUGAAUUAACCUACUUCGAGGAAAGAUCCCAGAGAGUCCCAGACCCGCAGCUCGGGAUCAGCGAGG